rnacentral:rRNA from 1 species
AUUGAACGCUGGCGGAAUGCUUUACACAUGCAAGUCGAGCGGCAGCGCGGGGCAACCUGGCGGCGAGCGGCGAACGGGUGAGUAAUGCAUCGGAACAUGUCCAUGUCGUGGGGGAUAGCCCGGCGAAAGCCGGAUUAAUACCGCAUACGCCCGAGAGGGGAAAGCAGGGGACCGCAAGGCCUUGCGCGAUUGGGUUGGCCGAUGUCCGAUUAGCUUGUUGGUGAGGUAAAGGCUUACCAAGGCGAUGAUCGGUAGCUGGUCUGAGAGGAUGAUCAGCCACACUGGGACUGAGACACGGCCCAGACUCCUACGGGAGGCAGCAGUGGGGAAUUUUGGACAAUGGGGGCAACCCUGAUCCAGCCAUUCCGCGUGAGUGAAGAAGGCCU